GCGGUGCUGCCCGGUGCGUCAGGAGAUAUCUAAUCCCCGGGCCCUUACCGAUCCUGAAGGGAGCUGUCCCUGGCUUGGCCCGUGGGCCUUGCCAAACGGCGCCCACCUACGUUGCUAGGUGUCCCGGGAUCGAAAACUCCAACGGCCGGUGUGGCCCGCC
rnacentral:other from 1 species